UUCCAGUCCCUGCUCUAUUACAUAUUCAUUAUGAAACACUGAACAAACCACUUAAUCUCUUACAGGCUCAGCUUUCUCAUCACUAAACUGGAGAUACAGGUAGUCCAAUCCACGAAAGUGUGAGAACCAUGAGCCUAGUCUCCACCUCAGGAGUCGCCCGAGGAAACUGAUGCUAAAAAUCCAAGUUGCAAAUCAAAAUAUUAGAAAAAUCAACCCAUGCUCUAGACUUGGAAGCCCGACACUUAGAUCAUCUCUCUCUGAGCAGAGCCAGCUGUUGGCCCCCACAGGAGUUGGAGACUUGGAAUUCCCUUUGGUGCAGAAACUAUUCCUUCAUGAGAAGAAGUCCUUAAAUAGGCUCUUUAGAUGAGGACACAGCAUUCCCCCUUUCCAGAGGAUGCAACAAGGCACCAUCUUGAAAGCAGAGAGUAGCCCUCACCAGACACUAAAUCUGCCAGCACCUUGAUAUUGGACUUGCCUGCCUCCAGAACUGCUCCUCAUCAUAUGUCCCAGGAUAGGAUUCUGGGACUGCCUCCUGGCUGUAAGGCUGAGUCAUAAAGAUGGUACCUGGGGUCAGCUGCCACUUUCUUCUCUGCAGCAGAAGCCUGAAUGUAGUUGGAGCUUGAGUCAGCCAAGCAUAGACUAGACUAAUAGCUGUCAUGUAUUGAGCCCUCCCUAUGCACCAGACAUUCUUCCGAGCACUCUCACACAAGAACCCUGGAGGUGGAGGAACAGGAGGUAGACAAGCUGUAACACAGCCUCCCUGAAUCUGCUCUCGUCCUUCUCAGUCACACAAGCCAAUAGACCCCCACUUUUGAAAGCAAGUUGUUAUCCACAGGUCAGCUCUCAGGAUUACAGAAGGUCAGAACGCAGAGUAGCUCAAGCACCUUUCCCAAGCCUGAUCCAACCCUGUGUCUGGUGAUACCCAAGCCUCAGUCAGGAGUGGAAAAAAAUCCAGGCACUGGACAACCCAUAACAGAUAAGCUGCCGUUUGGGAACUUGAUAUUCCCUCUAUGCAAACUGGACCAACGCACAACCUAGAUAUGUCACUGCAAAUCUUUGUUGAAUAAACAGCUCCAAUAUCAUC